UACGGAGGGUGCAAGCGUUAUCCGGAUUCACUGGGCGUAAAGGGUGCGUAGGCGGUCGGGUAAGUCUGAUGUGAAAUCUCACAGCUUAACUGUGAAACUGCAUUGGAUACUAUCCGGCUCGAGGAAUGGAGGGGAGACUGGAAUACUUGGUGUAGCAGUGAAAUGCGUAGAUAUCAAGUGGAACACCAGUGGCGAAGGCGAGUCUCUGGACAUUUCCUGACGCUGAGGCACGAAAGCCAGGGGAGCAAACGGG
rnacentral:rRNA from 1 species